GACGGAGGAUGCAAGCGUUAUCCGGAAUUAUUGGGCGUAAAGCGUCCGCAGGUGGACAUACAAGUCUGCUGUCAAAGUGCAGAGCUUAACUCUGUAAAGGCGGUGGAAACUGUAGGUCUUGAGUAUGGUAGGGGUAGAGGGAAUUCCCGGUGUAGCGGUGAAAUGCGUAGAGAUCGGGAGGAACACCUGUGGCGAAGGCGGCCCCCUGGGCCGGCCCUGACACUGAGACGCGAAGGCGUGGGGAGCGAACAGG
rnacentral:rRNA from 1 species